rnacentral:misc_RNA from 1 species
GAUGAAUAACGCAGCGAAAUGCGAUACGUAAUGUGAAUUGCAGAAUUCAGUGAAUCAUCGAAUCUUUGAACGCAUAUUGCGCUCUCUGGUAUUCCGGAGAGCAUGCUUGUUUGAGUAUCAGUAAACACCUCAACUUCCAUAUCUUUUUUGAAAUGGGAGUUGGACUUGAGUGAUCCCAACGCUUUUCCUCACCGAAAAGUGGCGGGUUACUUGAAAUGCAGGUGCAGCUGGACUUUUCUCUGAGCUAUAAGCAUAUCUAUUUAGUCUGCCUAAAAAACAGAUUAUUACCUUUGCUGCAGCUAACAUAAAGGAGAUUAGUUCUUGUGCUGACUGAUGCAGGAUUCACAAAGACGGCUUCGGCCGACUUUGUAAACUCGAUCUCAAAUCAAGUAAGACUACCCGCUGAACUUAAGCAUAUCAAUAAGCGGAGGA